AUUGAACGCUAGCGGGAUGCCUUACACAUGCAAGUCGAACGGCAGCACGGACUUCGGUCUGGUGGCGAGUGGCGAACGGGUGAGUAAUGUAUCGGAACGUGCCCACUAGCGGGGGAUAACUACUCGAAAGAGUAGCUAAUACCGCAUACGCCCGACGGGGGCAAGGGGGGGAUCGCAAGACCUCUCACUAUUGGCGCCGCCGAUAUCGGAUUAGCUAGUUGGUGGGGUAAAGGCCCACCAAGGCGACGAUCCGUAGCUGGUUUGAGAGGACGACCAGCCACACUGGGACUGAGACACGGCCCAGACUCCUACGGGAGGCAGCAGUGGGGAAUUUUGGACAAUGGGGGCAACCCUGAUCCAGCCAUCCCGCGUGUGCGAUGAAGGCCUUCGCGUUGUAAAGCACUUUUGGCAGGAAAGAAAUCGCAUGGGUUAAUACCCUGUGUGGAUGACGGUACCUGCAGAAUAAGCACCGGCUAACUACGUGCCAGCCGCCGCCGUAACAC
rnacentral:rRNA from 1 species